rnacentral:rRNA from 1 species
UACGGAGGGGGACUAGCGUUGUUCGGAAUUACUGGGCGUAAAGCGCACGUAGGCGGAUUUGUAAGUCAGGGGUGAAAUCCCGGGGCUCAACCUCGGAACUGCCUUUGAUACUGCAAAUCUCGAGUCCGGAAGAGGUGAGUGGAAUUCCUAGUGUAGAGGUGAAAUUCGUGGAUAUUAGGAAGAACACCAGUGGCGAAGGCGGCUCACUGGUCCGGUACUGACGCUGAGGUGCGAAAGCGUGGGGAGCAAACAGG